rnacentral:rRNA from 1 species
CUUAACAAAACUAUCCGCCAGAGAACUACUAGCCACAGCUUAAAACUCAAAGGACUUGGCGGUGCUUUACAUCCCUCUAGAGGAGCCUGUUCUAUAAUCGAUAAACCCCGAUAUACCUCACCAUCUCUUGCUAAUUCAGCCUAUAUACCGCCAUCUUCAGCAAACCCUGAAAAGGAAGAAAAGUAAGCAUAAGUAUCUUAACACAAAAAAGUUAGGUCAAGGUGUAGCCCAUGAGGUGGGAAGCAAUGGGCUACAUUUUCUAAAAUUAGAACAUCAACGAAAAUCCUUAUGAAAUUAAGUAUUAAAGGAGGAUUUAGUAGUAAAUUUGAGAAUAGAGAGCUCAAUUGAAUCGGGCCAUGAAGCACGCACACACCGCCCGUC